UACGGGGGGAGCAAGCGUUGUCCGGAAUUACUGGGCGUAAAGAGCUCGUAGGUGGUUUGUCGCGUUGUUCGUGAAAACUCACAGCUCAACUGUGGGCGUGCGGGCGAUACGGGCAGACUGGAGUACUGCAGGGGAGACUGGAAUUCCUGGUGUAGCGGUGGAAUGCGCAGAUAUCAGGAGGAACACCGGUGGCGAAGGCGGGUCUCUGGGCAGUAACUGACGCUGAGGAGCGAAAGCGAGGGGAGCGAACAGG
rnacentral:rRNA from 1 species